CCUUGCUCUUCCAGGUUUGCUAGAGUUGCAUCUUAACAAAGGCUUUUUCAGCACAUUAGAGAUAAUUGUGUGAUUUUCCUCUUUGAAUGUAUGAAUGUGUGACCCUGCUUCAACCAACAGAAUGUUGCAGAAGUGAAGCUACGCCAGUUCUGGGCUUAAACGUCAAUCAGGCCUAGCAACUUCUCUUCUGUCUGGAUGAAGGUAGACACAGCAUAAGAACUACCUGUGACCAUGAUGCUCUGAGAAGCCAGCCUAACUAUGUGCAGAGGCCACAUGGAGGAAAACUGAGGCCUCCAGCCCACAGCCCCAGCUGAAUUUCUAGAUGCAAUCAGCACUAACCUGCCAGCUAUGAGUGAGGCCAUCUUUGAAGUGGAUCCCUCAGCCCCACUCAAGCCACCCAGAUGAUGCCAUAUGAACUGCCCCUGCCGAGCCCUGCCCAGAUUGCAGAAUCAUGAGAAAAUAAAUUAAAAAGGCUUUGUUUAAGUCAGUAAGUUUAGGGUUAAUUUUUUUGGACAGCAACAGAUAACCAAAGCAGAAUUCUAGUCUCAGCUUAAACACUUUUAGGAACAGAAGACUCCAUGCCUCGUAAAGUAAUCCAUUCUGUUUCUUAAUAGCAAUAGUUAUUAGAACAUUGUUCUCUAUAUUUAACAAAAAUCUGCCUUCCCAUCACUCACAACCUGUCUCUAUGGUAAAGUCAGUCUGUGUGCCUGCCACAUGGCAGCUCUUCCAGUUUUUUUCAAAGAGUCAUGGUCUUUAUUCACCACACCUCCAGUUCCCAUUGCACCCUGCACACCCAGGGUGCACAUGAACAAGUCUUUUCUUUCUAGACAUAAAUAUCUCCAACUCCUUCAUGUCCCGAUUCUUUCCCUAAACAGCUCAAACUCUUAUUAGUAAACCAGAUGCUACCUAGAAACACAUGUGGGACCCCCAUCACUG
rnacentral:lncRNA from 1 species